rfam:Cricetulus griseus cell line CHO-K1, whole genome shotgun sequence.
GGAGAAAUGGCUUAGUGGUUAAGAGCACUGGCUGCUCUUCCAGAGGACCUGGGUUCAAUUCCUAGUACCCACA